GCAUCCGUAGCUCAGUAGGAUAGAGCGUCCCCCUCCUAAGGGGAAGGCCGGGGGUUCGAUUCCCUUCGGGUGUACCA
rnacentral:tRNA from 31 species